rnacentral:rRNA from 1 species
UGAAUACCAGACGCUACGGCGUUGAAGCAGUGUAUGUCAGACUUCCAAGAAAAGCUCGCAAUGUCCGAAAUAAAAUAAUGCCUGUACCAUAACCGACACAGGUGGGUAGGUAGAGUAUACUAAGGGGCGCGAGAUAACUCUCUCUAAGGAACUCGGCAAAAUAACUCCGUAACUUCGGGAGAAGGAGUGCCUUAUUUUAAGGUUGCAAUAACAAGAUCCAAGCAACUGUUUACCAAAAACACAGGUCUCCGCUAAGUCGUAAGACGAUGUAUGGGGGCUGACGCCUGCCCAGUGCCAGAAGGUUAAAGAAGUUGGUUAGCUAUUGCGAAGCUGAUGACUGAAGCCCUGGUGAACGGCGGCCGUAACAAUAACGGUCCUAAGGUAGCGAAAUUCCUUGUCGGGUUCCGACCCGCACGAAAGGCGUAAUGAUUUGGAUACUGUCUCGGAGAGGGGCUCGGUGAAAUAGACUUGUCUGUGAAGAUGCGGACUACCUGCACCUGGACAGAAAGACCCUAUGAAGCUUUACUGUAACUUGAAAUUGAAAUUGGACUUUAUUUGCGCAGUAUAGGUGGGAGGCGUUUGAAGAUAUUCUUGCGGGAAUGUUGGAGCCAUUAGUGAGAUACCACUCUUGUAAUGUUAGAUUUCUAACUUUGUACCAUAAUCUGGUCAAAGAACAGUUUCAGGCGGGCAGUUUGACUGGGGCGGUCGCCUCCCAAAUGGUAACGGAGGCGUACAAAGGUUUCCUCUGAACGUGUAGAAAUCGUAUCUAGAGUGUAAAGGCAUAAGGAAGCUUGACUGUGAGACCUACAAGUCAAGCAGGGACGAAAGUCGGUCUUAGUGAUCUGACGGUACUGAGUGGAAAGGCCGUCACUCAACGGAUAAAAGUUACUCUAGGAUAACAGGCUGAUCUCCCCCAAGAGUUCACAUCGACGGGGAGGUUUGGCACCUCGAUGUCGGCUCAUCGCAUCCUGGGGCGGUAGUACGUCCCAAGGGUUGGGCUGUUCGCCCAUGAAAGCGGUACGCGAGCUGGGUUCAGAACGUCGUGAGACAGUUCGGUCCAUAUCCGGUGUAGGCGUUAGAAUAUUGAGAGGAGCCUUCUUUAGUACGAGAGGACCGAGAAGGACAUACCUCUGGUGUACCAGUUAUCGUGCCAACGGUAAAUGCUGGGUAGCUAUGUAUGGAGAGGAUAACCGCUGAAAGCAUCUAAGUGGGAAGCCCACCUCGAGAUGAG